rnacentral:rRNA from 1 species
GAGCAAUCCAUGAGUAGAGUGGCAAACGGGUGAGUAACACGUGGGCAACCUGCCCCUGACUCUGGGAUAACUCCGGGAAACCGGAGCUAAUACCGGAUACGAGCCUUGAGGACAUCCUCGAGGUUGGAAAGUUUUUCGGUCAGGGAUGGGCCCGCGGCCUAUCAGCUUGUUGGUGGGGUAAUGGCCCACCAAGGCGACGACGGGUAGCCGGCCUGAGAGGGCGACCGGCCACACUGGGACUGAGACACGGCCCAGACUCCUACGGGAGGCAGCAGUGGGGAAUAUUGCGCAAUGGGCGAAAGCCUGACGCAGCGACGCCGCGUGAGGGAUGACGGCCUUCGGG